UACAAAUCAAUCACCAACAACCUCAUGAUGCCCGGUAGGCCACACCGCCAACCACUCCACUCAUCUGUUGUGGGUGUCUAUAUUGGUUUAAGUUAGUAUCCUCUUCGAUGGGGAACAACGUGUCCAUUCCUCCCAACCCUUACAAUCUAAGUAAAGCAACGAUAUCUCUCUCUUACCCUCUUUAUCUUUUCUCUCUCUCUUCAGAGAAAACAGCAGCCAUCUCUCUGUCCUUGCUGCAGUAGUUACCCUCUUUAUUUUCUCUCUUUCACAGAAAACACCAGCCCUCUCUCUCUCUCUCUCUUUUCCCAGCAGUAGUUACCCUCUUUCUCUUCUCUCUCUUCACAUAAAACAACAACCCUCUCUCUCUCUAUUUCCCCCAACCCUGUCUUGCUCUCUCUCCCUCCCUCUUCCAACGCUCAAAGAGGUUGCAGAAAAUAGCAGCCAUAUCUCUCUCUCUCCAUUUUGCCCAACCCACUCUCUCUCCAUUUCGCCCAAAGAGGUUGCAGAGUCUGCUAUCUCCAUUUCGUCCAAAGGGGUUGCAGAGUCAUCUCUAGCGAAUGCUGCUGAAAAAUAGAGUGCAAAAGAGGGCUCUGUUGUGCUGCUGUUUGGAGAGAGAGAGAGAGGGCAAGUUGAAAUUGCAGUUUGAUAGAUAUUGCUCUGCAACCGGUUUGGGUGAGACUCGGCAACUUCUUNNNNNNNNNNNNNNNNNNNNCGAGAGAGAGAGGUGGCGAAGUAGAGAGAGAGAGAGGGGAGCUCUCAUUGGAGUGGCAAGAGAGGGCGAUGCUUUUUGUGGAGAGAGAAAAGAAAAAGAGGGUAAUCGCUAACGGGAGGAGAGAGAGUGGUGGGGGAGAGAGAUAGGCAGAGAAGAGAGAGAGAGGGUCUAUCACGGGAAGAUAAAAAGCAAUGGGUUUCGCUCUCCAUCGUUGCAGUUUAUUUUGGCAAAAUCUCCUUCCUUCUAUACGCGAUGCGGCGUUAUAUAUACAUGAUUGGCUCGCUGCAAUGAAAUACUAAUUAUGUAAAUAUGAUCAUAUAAACAGUAUUAUGUUGAAUGGAU
rnacentral:lncRNA from 1 species